rnacentral:rRNA from 1 species
CGCNAACGCUGUUNCCNGNGUCGCUGNGUGGCAUNACGNCANCNGAAAGCUGGUGCCUANAUACCGCAUAUAGAUUCUACGGAUGAAANCGGGGGAUCGCAAGACCUCGNGCGAUUGGAGCGGCCGAUAUCNNAUUAGCCUAGUUGGUGGGGUAAAGGCCCACCAAGGCGACGAUCUGUAGCUGGUCUGACAGGACGACCAUCCACACUGGAACUGAGACACGGUCCAGACUCCUACGGGAGGCAGCAGUGGGGAAUUUUGGACAAUGGGCGCAAGUACUGAUCCAGCAAUGCCGCGUGCAGGAUGAAGGCCUUCGGGUUGUAAACUGCUUUUGUACGGAACGAAACGGCCUCUUCUAAUAAAGGAGGCUAAUGACGGUACCGUAAGAAUAAGCACCGGCUAACUACGUGCCAACAGCCGCGGUAAUACGUAGGGUGCGAGCGUUAAUCGGAAUUACUGGGCGUAAAGCGUGCGCAGGCGGUUAUAUAAGACAGAUGUGAAAUCCCCGGNGCUCAACCUGGGACCUGCAUUUGUGACUGUAUAGCUAGAGUACGGUANAGGGGGAUGGGAAUUCCGCGUGUAGCAGUGAAAUGCGUAGAUAUGCGGAGGAACACCGAUGGCGAAGGGCAUCCCCCUGGACCUGUACUGACGCUCAUGCACGAAANNGUGGGGAACAANCNGGAUUANAUACCCCUGGUNNUCCACGCCCCUAAACGAUGUCAACUGGUUGGUGGNNUCUUCUCCUGACUCCNGUAACGAANCUANCNGCGUGAA